GGCUCUGUGGCGCAAUGGAUAGCGCAUUGGACUUCUAAUUCAAAGGUUGUUGGUUCGAAUCCCAUCAGAGUCG
rnacentral:tRNA from 1 species